UACAGGGGGUGCAAACGUUGCUCGGAAUCAUUGGGCGUAAAGCGCACGUAGGCGGUUCGUUAUGUCGGAUGUGAAAGCCCUUGGCUUAACCGAGGAAGUGCAUCCGAAACUGGCGAGCUAGAGUACGAAAGAGGAUCGCGGAAUUCCCGGUGUAGAGGUGAAAUUCGUAGAUAUCGGGAGGAACACCGGUGGCGAAGGCGGCUACCUGGACCAGCACUGACACUGAAGCACGAAAGCGUGGGGAGCAAACAGG
rnacentral:rRNA from 1 species